rnacentral:misc_RNA from 1 species
ACCCUUGACCACGGUAUAGUCAGCGACUGGGGUGAAGUCGUAACAAGGUAGCCGUAGGGGAACCUGCGGCUGGAUUACCUCCUUUCUAAGGAUGAAUGAAAGUAAAAUUUCAUUCUAAAUAAUAUACAUCGGUAAUGUUGACCGUCCUCAUUUCUCUUCUUAAAGUAAUGUUUCCUUCUUGUAGGGCCGGUAGCUCAGUUGGUUAGAGCACACCCUUGAUAAGGGUGGGGUCGAAAGUUCGAGUCUUUCUCGGCCCACCAUACUUAACUGGGGGAUUAGCUCAGCUGGGAGAGCGCCUGAUUUGCAUUCAGGAGGUCAGCGGUUCGAUCCCGCUAUCCUCCACCAGGAAACAUUUAGUUAUAAAAACUGUAAAUAAAUUUAAUAAUUAAUAUCAAUAUCUAUAUCCGAACAUUAGUAAUGUUAUUAGCUAAUGUUCAAAAUAAAAAUUUGAUCACAACAUAGAUAAUUUUUCUUGUAAAAAGAAUUUUUUUCUGUGCAUAAAUCAAGCGUUUAAGGGCGUGUAGUGGAUGCCUUGGCACUGAAAGCCGAUGAAGGACGUGAUAUACUGCGAUAAGUUUCGGGGAGCUGUAUGUAAGUUUUGAUCCGAAAAUUU